GUCUUGUAAUUGGAAUGAUGGGAAUCUAAACCCUUCCCAGAGUAUCAAUUGGAGGGCAAGUCUGGUGCCAGCAGCCGCGGUAAUUCCAGCUCCAAUAGCGUAUAUUAAAGUUGUUGCAGUUAAGAAGCUCGUAGUUGAAUUUCUGCCUUGUCAUUAAUCUCGCUUCCGAGCGUUUUUUUAUUGACUUGGCAUCUUCUGGAUUUGGUGCCUUCGGGUACUAUUUUCCAGGAUUUACUUUGAGAAAACUAGAGUGUUUCAAACAGGCAUUCGCCUUGAAUACUACAGCAUGGAAUAAUGAAGUAGGACUUUGGUUCUAUUUUGUUGGUUAUUGAGCCAGAGUAAUGGUUAAUAGGAGCAGUUGGGGGCAUUCGUAUUUAACUGUCAGAGGUGAAAUUCUUAGAUUUGUUAAAGACGAACUACUGCGAAAGCAUUUGCCAAGGAUGUUUUCAUUAAUCAAGAACGAAAGUUAGGGGAUCGAAGACGAUCAGAUACCGUCGUAGUCCUAACCAUAAACUAUGCCGACUAGAGAUUGGAGGUCGUCAGUUUAAACGACUCCUUCAGCACCUUGAGAGAAAUCAAAGUCUUUGG
rnacentral:rRNA from 1 species